rnacentral:lncRNA from 12 species
CCCCCGAUUUGGCUGCAGAAGCAGCCUCACACUGCACAAGAGGAAAAAAACCCAUAUUGUUGGGGAGAGCCCACUGCUGCCAAACAGCCCCAGCCACGUGGGCCAGGGCUGGGAGCAGGAGUGGCACAGGCAGGGAAUAAAGUGGCUCUUUAUGUGGUGGCCAGGCUGGAUGGGGCUGGGGGUGAUGCACAGGCAGCAGAACUGAAAAAGGUCAAGUUUCCCAACAGCCCAAAGAGAGGGAUCUUCCUUCUGGGGGAGCUGGAGGAGGAGAAUCUGAGCAGCAAACAGGCAGAGGGUCCCUGGGAGCAGGGGAGAAGCUCCUUGGGCAGCAGCACAUUCCCAAAGCACGGAGGUGAAGGAGCAGAGAUGGGGGUGGCUGUGGCAGAGAUGAGGGCAAAGAAGGGAAAACGCUGAAUUUGGAGCACUGCUUUCCUCCCACUGCACCAGAGAAACCCAGCACCAGGAACACUGUUUGGGAUUAUUUCUGACAGAGGGAAAUGUGCUUUGCUUUCGCCCCAGCACACAUCCACCAGUGCAGCUCCUGCAGCCUGAGCAGGGCCCUGCCAGCAUCCUCUGCCCCGGGGGCAGCAGAACCAGCCCUGCCUGCCCCGUGCUCUGCCCCAGCAGGGGCUGCUGCUGCUGCCCAGGGUGCCCAGGGCCAAGGGCAGGUUGCAAAGACACAAAGCCCUGAUCCCAUUGCCAUGGAGAUGUUAAUUCAAGCCGAGUUCAAAGGAAAUGGUUCCAGCUAAAGCUAACAAGCCUGGCAGCAAAGCCCUGCUGUCAGCUGGAAGGGGCCAGCUCCUCGUAAAAGGGGGAAAGGAGGUGGGGUCAGAAAGAGGGGCCCCUGCUCCAAACACGAGCUGCAAAGAGACGUGGAGCUGUUGUUGUGGAGCAGAAACUCCCCCAGCACCGGCACAGCAGCAGAGGAUGGCAGGGCAGAGAAAGGCAGGGCAGAAAAAGGCAGGACAGAAAAAGGCAGGGCAGAGAAGGGGAGGGCAGAGAAGGGAAGGGCAGAGAAGGGCAGGGCAGAGAAGGGCAGGACAGAGAAGGGCAGGGCAGAGAAAAGGACAGGGCACAGAAGAGGGCAGGGCAGAGAAGGGGAGGGCAGAGAAGGGCAGGACAGAGAAAGGCAGGGCACAGAAAAGGGCAGGGCAGAGCAUGGCAGGACAGAGAAGGGCAGGGCACAGAAAAGGGCAGGACAGCCCUCCCCUGGCACUGGGUUUGGUGGAAGUGUUGCAUCUGGUGUAAUGAUUAAUCCUGGCAGGGCAGCGCCUUGGCUGCUGUGAGAGGUUGGGCUCUGUCCUGCUCUUUGGGGAGUGCUUUGUCUCUCAGAGGGCACUGCAGCCCCUCAGAGGAUGGGUGGCACUGCCCCGGGCUCAGCUGGCACUGCUGGAGGGUGAACAGGUCCAUCAGGAGCACCUGGAGGGAAGGCAGGGCUGCUCUGUAUGAUAAUUGAUAAAAGAUUUGUGUUAAUCAUAGAAGUAUUGGGGUUUGCAUAAACCAGAAUACUCAGGUCUGAAAUGAAGCAUGACACUAAAGAAAGGAAAAUACAUGAUUAAAUCAUUUUGUUUUAAUUCCCCCUGUUAUGAAUAUUAUGUUUUCUAAAUAAGUUGUAUCUACUGACAGCUUGCAAAGCAAGGUUUUCACACAGUCCAAGAGAUUCUGCAAAAUCAGGUUUCCUGCCUUUGUGUAAUCAAUAGCAGCCUGAGACCAGACUUCCCAAUUUCUGUCAUUUCUUAUCUAUCAAGACAGAUGGUUAUCUGUGGGAUUUGACAAAUUGUCUAGAGACUCACGUUGUCCAGCGAUCCCACGGACCACCACUGCUUACCUGGCAGGAUUAUGGCAGCAAAAAAAUAACAAUUAUUGAUGACUACAAGGAAACCAUGCUAUAAAAGGGAGCUGCAAACCAAAGUUUGGUGGAGCAUGGAGUGGGCAGUGGCCCCCCCCGUCUAUAUAAAAUAAAGCAAUCUAAAUUUUGCUGAAUAUCGAGACUUUUGUUUCUCAUUUAUAACAUCUGCCCACAGAACCCCUGAGCAGGGUGCAGGGGAGGCAGAGCCCACGGUCUGGGCUGGACAGGAGAGAGUCAGAAAACAGCUCUGAAAGGGAUGGUGAAGCCAGGAGCUGCCAACCCCUUCCCCUGCCCUGCAGGAGCACUUUGAAGAGCUGCCCUGAGCCAGAGCAGGAGCAGACCUGCUCCCUGCAGGGGCUGGGGAUAAGGGAAAGAACAAAAACCCCAGAGCUGGGCCAGGCUCUUCCAAGUGAGCUAGGAGAUCUUCCCAUCUGCUGCUGCAGUGCCAGGAGGAGAAUUGGUGCUGGAGUGGAGCUGCUGCUGCCAGCCAGGGCGGUGAGAGCAGCUUUUAUCUGAGCAGGCAGCGCUGGACAAGGUCCUGGCUGGCAGAGACUGACCUGAGGGAGUCUCUGGCCACUGCUGGGCACUGAGGUGCCCCUGGGCAGCACAGCCAUCCCCCUGCCCCUCCAUUCCAUGCCCAUCCCCGCCUCCCUGCAGGCUCAGAUGUGCUGCCAGGGCAGUGCUGGCGAGCAGCAAAAGCACUGACAGCGAGGCACUGCUGCAGUCCCACAUCCCACAUCCACCCCACAUCCACCCCACACCCCACAUCCACCCCACAUCCACCCCACAUCCACCCCACAUCCCACAUCCACCCCACAUCCCCCCCCCCCCCCCCCCCCCCCCCCCCCCCCCCCCCCCCCCCCCCCCCCCCC